UACUCAUAUUCUCAACAAGCAACCAAAGUAAGUUUUAUAUAUUGCAAUAUGUACAUACAUUCCAUUUUCCCUACAGCGACGUAAAACAGAAUUUCCCAGGCUCGUGAGACAGAUAACAAGUUACACCAUCAGCGAGAAACAAAAUAUCAUGGAAAGCUUUCGAUGGAAUUAUUCACUAAUGACAACAGAAGAGGCCGAGAUUUGAUUUGAGAUCUAUCCACACUUCAUGUUUGCAUCAGAUCAUCAUUGAUAAAUGAAACCAUUAUUACAAAAAUUUUUGCAAUUCAAAUUAAUUUAUUGUUACCUCAAACAGUAUUAGAAAAUCAAUUUCUUGAGCCAGCAAGUUUUCCCUGGAGAGCAAAAUCAAUGUACAAAACCAAGGUGAAAUAGACAUUAACAUCAGCAUGCAGCGGAAAAUAUUCCAAUGUAUCAACAUUGAAUGAUACAUAAAACCCAAGUUACGAAGCUCGAAAAAUGGGUUUGUCUACUUCAAAAGCAAACACUACAGUGUGCAUUCGGUCUAAGAGAUGCG
rnacentral:lncRNA from 1 species